AGCGAACGCUGGCGGCAGGCUUAACACAUGCAAGUCGAACGCUCGUAGCAAUACGGGAGUGGCGGACGGGUGAGUAACGCGUGGGAACGUGCCCUGAGGUACGGAAUAACUGAGGGAAACUUCAGCUAAUACCGUAUGAGCCCCGAGAGGGGGAAAGAUUUAUCGCCUUGGGAGCGGCCCGCGUCGGAUUAGCUAGUUGGUGGGGUAACGGCCUACCAAGGCUUCGAUCCGUAGCUGGUCUGAGAGGACGAUCAGCCACACUGGGACUGAGACACGGCCCAGACUCCUACGGGAGGCAGCAGUGGGGAAUCUUGCGCAAUGGGGGCAACCCUGACGCAGCCAUGCCGCGUGAACGAUGAAGGCCUUAGGGUUGUAAAGUUCUUUUACCCGUGACGAUGAUGACGGUAACGGGGAAUAAGCUCCGGCUAACUUCGUGCCAGCAGCCGCGGUAAU
rnacentral:rRNA from 1 species